CCUUUGAUCCCAACCCAGUUAAAUUGUAGUUUUUGUUACUCAUUGAUAUACAGUUUUUGUUUUCUGUGUUUUUUAAAAUUUUACUCAGUAUAUGCACCAAAUGGUCUUCCUUUACCAUGACAGCCAGGAUUAAUCGUGAUGUUUCAGAAACUAUUAAGAGGCUAACCCUUUGUUCUGCAUCCAGGGAUAUAGGCAUCCUGCAAAGCAAAUAUGAUUACCACCAUUUUGCAGAUGAAGAAAAUGAAGCUCAGGAAGUUUAAAUAAUUUGAAAUCUUUGGAAGUUUAAAUAACUUGAAUAAAAUAGCCAUAAAGAUAAGCAGGAUUUGAA